UGGACCUUGACCUUGCUGUCUAUGGGAGGGGCAGAGAGGCCUCAUAUUUCAUCAAGAAUAUCUUAAACUGUGUUCCGAAGAUGAACGAAGGUCUUACGAGGUCCGAGCAACAUAAGGGUG